AGCAGCCGCGGUAAUUCCAGCUCCAAUAGCGUAUAUUAAAGUUGUUGCAGUUAAAAAGCUCGUAGUUGAAUUUCGAGAUCAAAUUGUUGGUCGUGCCUCGGUACGUACUGGCAUUAUUGGUUUCUCCCUUCUGAAGAACCACGAUGUCAUUAAUUUGGUGUCGUGGGGAAUCAGGACCGUUACUUUGAAAAAAUUAGAGUGUUUAAAGCAGGCUCACGCUUGAAUACAUUAGCAUGGAAUAAUGAAAUAGGACGUUUGAUUCUAUUUUGUUGGUUUCUAGGAUCGACGUAAUGAUUAAUAGGGAUAGUUGGGGGCAUUAGUAUUCAAUUGUCAGAGGUGAAAUUCUUGGAUCUAUUGAAGACUAACUACUGCGAAAGCAUUUGCCAAGGAUGUUUUCAUUAAUCAAGAACGA
rnacentral:rRNA from 1 species